rnacentral:rRNA from 1 species
UACAGACUCCUACGGGAGGCAGCAGUGGGGAAUAUUGGGCAAUGGGCGCAAGCCUGACCCAGCAACGCCGCGUGAAGGAAGAAGGCUUUCGGGUUGUAAACUUCUUUUCUCAGGGACGAAGAAAGUGACGGUACCUGAGGAAUAAGCCACGGCUAACUACGUGCCAGCAGCCGCGGUAAUACGUAGGUGGCAAGCGUUAUCCGGAUUUAUUGGGUGUAAAGGGCGUGUAGGCGGGAGCGCAAGUCAGAUGUGAAAACUCAGGGCUCAACCCUGAGCCUGCAUUUGAAACUGUGUUUCUUGAGUGCUGGAGAGGCAAUCGGAAUUCCGUGUGUAGCGGUGAAAUGCGUAGAUAUACGGAGGAACACCAGUGGCGAAGGCGGCCUACUGGACGGUGACUGACGCUGAGGCUCGAAAGCGUGGGGAGCAAACAGGAUUAGAUACCCGAGUA